rnacentral:rRNA from 1 species
ACCUUCGGGUGGAGCGGCGGACGGGUUAGUAACGCGUGGGAAUAUACCCUUCACUAUGGAAUAGCCUCGGGAAACUGAGAGUAAUACCAUAUACGCCCUUCGGGGGAAAGAUUUAUCGGUGAAGGAUUAGCCCGCGUAAGAUUAGAUAGUUGGUGGGGUAAUGGCCUACCAAGUCUACGAUCUUUAGCUGGUUUUAGAGGAUGAUCAGCAACACUGGGACUGAGACACGGCCCAGACUCCUACGGGAGGCAGCAGUGGGGAAUCUUAGACAAUGGGCGCAAGCCUGAUCUAGCCAUGCCGCGUGAGUGAUGAAGGUCUUAGGAUCGUAAAGCUCUUUCGCUAGGGAUGAUAAUGACAGUACCUAGUAAAGAAGCCCCGGCUAACUCCGUGCCAGCAGCCGCGGUAAUACGGAGGGGGCUAGCGUUGUUCGGAAUUACUGGGCGUAAAGCGUACGUAGGCGGAUCAGAAAGUAUGGGGUGAAAUCCCAGGGCUUAACCCUGGAACUGCCUCAUAAACUCCUGGUCUUGAGUUC